rnacentral:rRNA from 1 species
UACGGGGGGUGCGAGCGUUGUUCGGAAUUAUUGGGCGUAAAGAGCGUGUAGGCGGCUGGACAAGUCAGAUGUGAAAGCCCUGGGCUUAACCCAGGAAGUGCAUUUGAAACUGUCCGGCUAGAGUAGGGGAGAGGAAAGUGGAAUUCCUGGUGUAGAGGUGAAAUUCGUAGAUAUCAGGAGGAACACCGGUGGCGAAGGCGACUUUCUGGCCCUAUACUGACGCUGAGACGCGAGAGCGUGGGUAGCAAACAGG